UACGGGGGGGGCAAGCGUUGUUCGGAAUUACUGGGCGUAAAGGGCUCGUAGGCGGCCAACUAAGUCCGACGUGAAAUCCCCAGGCUCAACCUGGGAACUGCGUCGGAUACUGGAUGGCUUGAAUUCGGGAGAGGGAUGCAGAAUUCCAGGUGUAGCGGUGAAAUGCGUAGAUAUCUGGAGGAAUACCGGUGGCGAAGGCGGCAUCCUGGACCGACAUUGACGCUGAGGAGCGAAAGCUAGGGGAGCAAACCGG
rnacentral:rRNA from 1 species